ensembl:lncRNA PROX1-AS1 PROX1 antisense RNA 1
GAGGAUACGCAGACAUCAUCCAAAGCUUCCUACAUUCAGAUGAGGACAGAGGUUGGGCCAGAGCUUUGUAAGCUUGUUACCUAAGGAUGGUUCUGACCAUGUAAGCAGAUCACAGAAGCACUGUUCACAAUAGCAAAGACUUGGAACCAAUCCAAAUGCCCAUCAAUGAACACCUGGAUAAAGAAAAUGUGGCACAUACACAGCAUGGAAUACUAUGCAGCCAUAAAUAAGGAUGAAUUCAUGUCCUUUGCAGGGACAUGGAUGAAGCUGGAAAACAUCAUUCUCAGCAAACUAAGAACCUCCAUUUUGGAAAACUCAAAUUUCUGAGCAGACUGAUCCUGGACUCGACGCGGGGAAUUGUUUGAAAGGCUAUUCACAGAUCAUCAUCAGCCAGAGGUGACUUCUGUUGCUUGCAGCUCAGAAUCCUAGAUGUUUCCGGUGGCACUGAAGAGCCUCUGCUGAAGCUCUAUACCAUUUGCCAUUUACAAAGGGAAAUGAAAUAAUAACGCUGACCAUUUGUGGAGCACAUUCUGUCUGGAGGCAAAGGAUGCCAAGAUGGGAAAGCCACAUAAUGGAAGGAUCCUGGAUUUCAGAGCUGU